CUGGCUCAGGAUGAACGCUAGCGGCAGGCUUAACACAUGCAAGUCGAGGGGCAGCGGGAUGUAGCAAUACAUUGCCGGCGACCGGCGGAUGGGUGCGUAACGCGUAUGCAACCUACCUUAUACAGGGGAAUAACCUUUCGAAAGGGAGACUAACACCCCAUAGUAUUGAUUUAAGGCAUCUUAGAUUAAUUAAAUAUUUAUAGGUAUAAGAUGGGCAUGCGUAUGAUUAGCUAGUUGGUAAGGUAACGGCUUACCAAGGCGACGAUCAUUAGGGGUUCUGAGAGGAAGGUCCCCCACACUGGUACUGAGACACGGACCAGACUCCUACGGGAGGCAGCAGUGAGGAAUAUUGGUCAAUGGGCGCAAGCCUGAACCAGCCAUGCCGCGUGCAGGAAGACGGCCUUAUGGGUUGUAAACUGCUUUUACAUAAGACUAACCGUAUAUUUGCGAAUAUACCUGAAUGUAUUAUGAGAAUAAGGAUCGGCUAACUCCGUGCCAGCCGCUGC
rnacentral:rRNA from 1 species